rnacentral:misc_RNA from 1 species
CAUGGCGAAAGGAUGUGGCGAUUUUGUCCACGAAGGGGAAAAAUAUUUCAAUCUGUUGAAUCAGAUGUUUGUACAAGAUCCAGAAAUUGAAGAAGUAGAUAUCAUAUUCUGCCCUCAAUGUAAAGUAAAUCAAGAAGAGAAAACCAUUUGUGCCAUGAUCAAUGAGAAGCAUAUUCUAGGAAUACGAUCAUGGUGUGUGCAACCAUUGUACAUGUAUGCAUAUAAUAAAUUAUUAAGGGCAAGAAAACAUAAGGGCAUUACCUGUUAUAAUAGUUUAUCUGCUACCGAUAUUCUACAGCUAUCAAGAGCAGUAUUGUUGCUUAGUGCUGAAUGCUAUACAGUAUGGAAUAUGAGAAAGGAGCUGGUAAUGACAAGUGUACUGAACAUAGAUGACGAUCUUCAGUUAUCAUCUUUAAUUUUGUCCAAACACCCCAGAAGUGCAGAGACAUUCAGCCAUCGAAAAUGGCUCAUUGUUCAAUAUGUUAAACAGAAAGGCAGAUCAAAAUAUAUCCAGGAAUGGCUUAGAAAAGAACUGUGUAUCUGUCUUUACUGUGCUGAUCAUUAUUCAGACAACUAUGUUGCUUGGACACACAGAGGAUGGAUAACUGAAGAAUUCAUUGAUUCUAAAAAGACAAAAGUUAUUAACAAAGCUCAAAGAGAUGAGCUCUGUUGAGGACAUGGUUUUACUACUACUUGAAGAAAUGGUGUUUGUAACAAAUCUCCAGGACUCAUUUCCUGGUCAUGAGUGCACAUGGUCUCACAGACGAUUCAUUGUUGAGCACUGGCAUCUUUGGUUUGGUUCGGUCC